rnacentral:misc_RNA from 1 species
AGCCGACAUACACAUUAUUAGUUGGCGAUACCCGUCGUCGGGGCGAGAGCGGAGCGCCCUCGUGCACACGGACACGUAGAGACGCAGUUGUUCUGCCUGCUUGUCUGUCUUCGCAUAACUGCACCAUCGUCAUCUCUGUUGUGGCCACCCCGCGCCCUCUCACUGGUCGGCCAUCAUCAUCAGCAUCACACACACACCCACACCUGUGUUUGCUUUGAUGUUGUGUGAUGCCUGCCGACAGACGCUUUUUCUUUUAAGGCCCUUUUCGCGUUGUGCCUGCGUGUGGCUCACAACCGAGGUUGCGCCUUAUGCUGCGAAUGUUCUUUGGCUCGUCUUUAAAGUUGCACAAGGGUGUGUGUGCCGCCGCUCGACCGCAUCACACGCUGCGACAUGAAGGAGAAUAACCGGCUGGAGUGAAUGGUGGCGGCGGCUCGUUGCCGAGGGCUGCUUCGCGCUGUCUGCUCUCGCAUGACCUCCUGUGACUCCUCGAGUAAUGCCCGAUGAGCUUAUCGACACAUCGACACACACUCGCUCUUCUUCUUUCAUCUAAUGCACGCCAUUGAGCGUGUGUGUGUGUGUUGUUGGUAUUCGCCAAGUCGCUUGUUCUUCGCCGCUCGUCUUCCCAAUGCCUUCACCUCGUCCCCCCCUGCCCCAGCUCACCCAGCACCUUGUGCGUUAUCCUCAUUGAGGUUUUCUCUGUCUCUAGCGUGCCACGCAAGUAGGUGUGGCAUUCUGCUAGUUGCUGGUGAUAUGUGUUUGUGCUUCAUCUUUAUUCUUUUUUGUUUAAGUGGAGGGGACGAGGUGGUGGCCGAAGUUGCGAGCCGUAGCUGUUUGCAUGCCGGCGGUCUCUCCCUUUCACCGCCUUCUUCAUCGCGCCUGCCGUUUGCGACGGAGCGGAUUGGUGGCUCGCCGUGAUACCGCGCAGCCGCAUCGCAGGCGCACAUGCGCACACAUCCACGCAUGCGCCCUCCCGUUUGAUUCGUGUUUUACUGCACCCUCCCUGAAGACGGCCGGACGCACGCCUCAGCGCGCGGCACCACGGGGUCCAGCACCCCUUCCACUCUGUGUGCGGAGGCCACGCAGCCCCCCUUAUCCCUGCCACUGCCGGCCGGCGUGUGGUGGGGACAGGGCCAGGCACCCGUGUCGUGGGGGAGGUGGAUGCAAUGAAUCACUGCUGAUGUCGGCGGCGACGUCGUGGACGGUGUUGCGUGGGCGAUACCUGCGACCGUGAGCACGCUUGCACGGCCCAUAUGAGGGGCAGAGUGGCAGCGUGACUCGAGCGUAUCCCACCCCUCGGCCAUGACUGCCUCCCGGUGGGGAGUCUGGGCCACGGCGAGAGAUGCGCCAGGUGGUGGCCAGCCCAAUGGGGGAGCGGCUGUGGGGCGACGUGCGAAGCGGUGAGGGGGGCGGGUGGGGGUUGAGGGGCCGAGCGCAUGCGGAGCCGACUGCGUCUGCGCAUUUGCUGCCGCGUGCGCGCGUGUGUGCGUGUGCGGCCGCUUCGCACCACGCGACGGUGCCUGUGACGGGGCCAUCGCCGGGGGAGGGGAGAGGGGGCGGAGAGUGGUGGAGUGGAGCUGCGGACAUGUUGUGUGGCAGAGAGGGGGGCUUGUGAACAACAUGUCUUUGCUUUUCUUGCCCUGCGUAGUUUUCUUCCGCUGUGCCUUGCCUCGCUGCUGCUACCCUGCUCGCACUGUUUUCUUUGUGUGUGAUGGCCUAGCCUCCGUAAGGUCGACGUGCUCGACGUUCGACUGCAUGCGUUGGUGUGCUUCAUCAGCUUUCACGGCGACAGCGGCGGAAACUGUCCUCUCUGUGAAUGUUGCGUUGCGUGGCUUUGUGUCUGGCCUCGCGUUGCGCGCGGUGGAGUGCCACACAUGCUUGCCAACACAGGAACGUCCCUCUCCCCCGAAAAAAAAAAAACGUAGUAAAACCCGGGAAAAGCGUACGCAGCAGCGUGCAUCGUAAGUGGAGAAUGCGGCCUGCGACUCACUCGGAGGCAUUUGGCGCCCCCCCCUCCCCCCGUUGCACCAGCGCAGGGAGAUCCGGGAGUUGCUCUACACGUGCGCGCUUGGCAGCUGUGGCGGGUGCGUGCGGUAUAGUCUCUCUUCGACGCGGGGUUCUCACAGACGAUGGCAGCCACCGCAUCGGGGCGAUGCAGGGGCCAGCUUACGCCUGAGCAACUGCCCAGGAAUGUCGAGAGUGCGUAGGGAGAGACGGGGCGAAAGAGCGAAACGAACGAGUUGUGCCGCCGCGUCCGUUCCACCACGAACACGUCAGAAGCUCUACACGCGUGCGCAACCACGGCCUCCCUACCUCUGCUGCUCACUGCGGCUAUGUCCAG